rnacentral:rRNA from 1 species
UACGGAGGAUCCAAGCGUUAUCCGGAUUUAUUGGGUUUAAAGGGUGCGUAGGCGGCUUAUUAAGUCAGGGGUGAAAGACGGUGGCUCAACCAUCGCAGUGCCCUUGAUACUGAUGAGCUUGAAUACACUUGAGGUAGGCGGAAUGUGACAAGUAGCGGUGAGAUGCAUAGAUAUGUCACAGAACACCAAUUGCGAAGGCAGCUUACUAAGGUGCAAUUGACGCUGAGGCACGAAAGCGUGGGGAUCAAACAGG